rnacentral:rRNA from 1 species
GAUGAACGCUAGCGGCGGGCUUAACACAUGCAAGUCGAGGGGUAUAGUUCUUCGGAGCUAGAGACCGGCGCACGGGUGCGUAACGCGUAUGCAAUCUACCUUUUGCAGAGGGAUAGCCCAGAGAAAUUUGGAUUAAUACCUCAUGGUAUGGGAGAAUGGCAUCAUUUUCACAUUAAAGUCACAACGGCAAAAGAUGAGCAUGCGUCCCAUUAGCUAGUUGGUAAGGUAACGGCUUACCAAGGCAACGAUGGGUAGGGGUCCUGAGAGGGAGAUCCCCCACACUGGUACUGAGACACGGACCAGACUCCUACGGGAGGCAGCAGUAAGGAAUAUUGGACAAUGGGCGCAAGCCUGAUCCAGCCAUGCCGCGUGCAGGAUGACGGUCCUAUGGAUUGUAAACUGCUUUUGUACAGGAAGAAACACUGGUUCGUGAACCAGCUUGACGGUACUGUAAGAAUAAGGAUCGGCUAACUCCGUGCCAGCAGCCGCGGUAAAAC